GUCCACGCCGUAAACGAUGAGUGCUAGGUGUUAGACCCUUUCCGGGGUUUAGUGCCGUAGCUAACGCAUUAAGCACUCCGCCUGGGGAGUACGACCGCAAGGUUGAAACUCAAAGGAAUUGACGGGGGCCCGCACAAGCGGUGGAGCAUGUGGUUUAAUUCGAAGCAACGCGAAGAACCUUACCAGGUCUUGACAUCCCUCUGACCGCUCUAGAGAUAGAGUUUUCCUUCGGGACAGAGGUGACAGGUGGUGCAUGGUU
rnacentral:rRNA from 1 species